ensembl:lncRNA
CCAUCUCUGGCUGAGGACAGACAAUUCCUCCUCCCUGAGGUCACUCUGAAGCUGCAUGCUGCCCAAGCACAGCAAAGAUUUUAUUGUUGUUUUUUGUUUUCCCCUCCUUCUCACUGCCUACAGAGCCAAAGGGCCUGUUUGUUUUCCUCUUAGUUAUCAGAAAGGUUUAUUUGCGAUUGCUUGAGAGAGGAAAAAAACCCUCUGUAGCCACAGGCAGACAAGCUCAGUGCUCAGGAACAUAAUGGCUGGAGCCUGCAGGCCCAUAUGCUCGCCAUCCUGUGAGGUGGAAGGCCAGCUCCGAUCAUCUCCAGCUGCUCAGGAUACAAUUGAUCAGGAUCUCCUACACACUGCAACCUUUUACAGCCCACUAUCGCUCAAUCCAGAAGCACAGACUGCUAAUAGCAUGAGAUGAAUAAAUGACUAGGAUGUUCAGCACCACCUGAGACACCCGGGCACAAGCAGCAGGUUUCUCACCUGCAGGUCACCAGCUCACUUCAGAAACCUGUCAUCAUCGUGCUGUCAUUUUUGAUUAAGCCAGGUUACCCAUGGACCUAGAUGGCUUGAUGUGGCAUA